AGGAUCUUCGGCAAUGGGCGCAAGCCUGACCGAGCGACGCCGCGUGUGCGAUGAAGGCCUUCGGGUUGUAAAGCACUGUCGAGGGGGAGGAAAGUCCGCAAGGAUCUGACCUAUCCCUGGAGGAAGCACGGGCUAAGUUCGUGCCAGCAGCCGCGGUAAGACGAACCGUGCGAACGUUGUUCGGAAUCACUGGGCUUAAAGGGCGCGUAGGCGGGCUAUCAAGUCAGUGGUGAAAUCUUUCAGCUCAACUGGAAAAGUGCCGCUGAUACUGGUAGUCUCGAGGGAGGUAGGGGUCGAUGGAACUAAUGGUGGAGCGGUGAAAUGCGUAGAUAUCAUUAGGAACGCCGGUGGCGAAAGCGAUCGACUGGACCUCUUCUGACGCUGAGGCGCGAAAGCCAGGGGAGCAAA
rnacentral:rRNA from 1 species